rnacentral:rRNA from 1 species
AACGAACGCUGGCGGCGUGGAUAAGACAUGCAAGUCGAACGGGACAGACCGAGUAGCAAUAUUUGGAAUGUCCAGUGGCGAACGGGUGCGUAACACGUGGAUAACAUUCCGGAAAGCGGGGAAUAGCCCAGGGAAACUUGGAUUAAUACCGCAUGUGGCCGCAAGGCUAAAGACGGGGAGCGCAAGGCCUGUCACUUUCCGAUUGGUCCGCGGCCUAUCAGCUAGUUGGCGGGGUAAUGGCCCACCAAGGCUACGACGGGUAGCUGGUCUUAGAGGACGACCAGCCACACUGGAACUGAGACACGGUCCAGACACCUACGGGUGGCAGCAGUCGAGAAUCUUUCACAAUGGGGGCAACCCUGAUGGAGCGACGCCGCGUGGAGGAUAAGGUCUUCGGAUUGUAAACUCCUGUCAUGCGAGAACAAGGUACUCAGGCUAAUAACCUGGUUGUUUGAUGGUACCGCAAGAGGAAGAGACGGCUAACUCUGUGCCAGCCGCCGCCGUAAAAC